AGAAUAAAAAAUUCUAUUUAAGUUUUAAAUUAGUUUAAGUUAGUCCAUAUUUUUACUUUUUAUUGACUCCUUUCAAAAGAGGUAAGAUCCGGUGAAUCGGAAACAAUUAAUUAAGAAUUCAAAACUUUUUUAUGGAACAGACAUAUGAAUAUGCGUGGAUCAUACCUUUCAUUCCACUUCCAGUGCCUAUGUUAAUAGGAGCGGGACUUAUUCUUUUUCCAACGGCAACAAAAAGGUUUCGCCGUAUGUGGGCUUUUCAGAGUGUUUUAUUGUUAAGCAUAGUCAUGAUUUUUUCAAUUUACUCGUCUA
rnacentral:misc_RNA from 1 species